GGUGAGUAACGCGUAUGCAACCUACCCUGUACAGGGGGAUAACCCGGAGAAAUUCGGACUAAUAUCCCAUAAUAUUAUUUGGAGGCAUCUUUGGAUAAUUAAAGCUCCGGCGGUACGGGAUGGGCAUGCGUAACAUUAGCUGGUUGGUAAGGUAACGGCUUACCAAGGCUUUGAUGUUUAGGGGUCCUGAGAGGGUGGUCCCCCACACUGGUACUGAGACACGGACCAGACUCCUACGGGAGGCAGCAGUGAGGAAUAUUGGUCAAUGG
rnacentral:rRNA from 1 species